rnacentral:lncRNA from 1 species
AGACGACCCAGUCUUCAUCUGAGCAAUCCGAGGACCAGCAACAAGCUGGGGUUCCUUCGGAUUCAGAUUCCCUUAUACAUCGGAUUGGUCGGGACAACUCGAUCAGCUGCCUGAUUCGGUGCUCCAGGUCCGCUUAUGGACUGAUUGCCUGUUUGAACAAGAGCUUCCGCUCAUUAGUUAGGACCGGGGAGCUCUAUAAACUGAGGAGGCAGAAUGAUGUGAUUGAGCACUGGAUUUAUUUUUCUUGCCACCUACUUGAAUGGGAAGCCUUUGAUCCCAAUCAACGCCGGUGGAUGCACUUGCCGAGAAUGACGUCCAAUGAAUGUUUCAUGU